CCUACGGGUGGCAGCAGUGGGGAAUAUUGGACAAUGGGGGCAACCCUGAUCCAGCCAUGCCGCGUGUGUGAAGAAGGCCCUCGGGUUGUAAAGCACUUUCAGUGAGGAAGAACGCCUGGUGGUUAAUACCUAUCAGGAAAGACAUCACUCACAGAAGAAGCACCGGCUAACUCCGUGCCAGCAGCCGCGGUAAUACGGAGGGUGCGAGCGUUAAUCGGAAUUACUGGGCGUAAAGCGCGCGUAGGUGGCUUGAUAAGCCGGUUGUGAAAGCCCCGGGCUCAACCUGGGAACGGCAUCCGGAACUGUCAAGCUAGAGUGCAGGAGAGGAAGGUAGAAUUCCCGGUGUAGCGGUGAAAUGCGUAGAGAUCGGGAGGAAUACCAGUGGCGAAGGCGGCCUUCUGGACUGACACUGACACUGAGGUGCGAAAGCGUGGGUAGCAAACAGGAUUAGAUACCCUUGUAGUC
rnacentral:rRNA from 1 species